rnacentral:rRNA from 1 species
GUGGAUCUGAGUUCGCUCUACACCCUUUGUGACAUACCUAUAACUGUUGCUUCGGCGGGCAGGGUCUCCGUGACCCUCCCGGCCUCCCGCCCCCGGGCGGGUCGGCGCCCGCCGGAGGAUAACCAAACUCUGAUUUAACGACGUUUCUUCUGAGUGGUACAAGCAAAUAAUCAAAACUUUUAACAACGGAUCUCUUGGUUCUGGCAUCGAUGAAGAACGCAGCGAAAUGCGAUAAGUAAUGUGAAUUGCAGAAUUCAGUGAAUCAUCGAAUCUUUGAACGCACAUUGCGCCCGCCAGCAUUCUGGCGGGCAUGCCUGUUCGAGCGUCAUUUCAACCCUCAAGCUCUGCUUGGUGUUGGGGCCCUACAGCUGAUGUAGGCCCUCAAAGGUAGUGGCGGACCCUCCCGGAGCCUCCUUUGCGUAGUAACUUUACGUCUCGCACUGGGAUCCGGAGGGACUCUUGCCGUAAAACCCCCAAUUUUCCAAAGGUUGACCUCGGAUCAGGUAGGAAUACCCGCUGAACUUAAGCAUAUCAAUAAGCGGAGAGAA